CAAAAGAUUCCUUAAGCUUAGUCCUAAGCCCUGUACUCUCCACAUCCUACUGACCUGCUCGCUAGAUGGUCAUAGCUCAUCGCCAUGGACUCCAUAAACAGCUCGCUUUCCAGCAUUGGCAUCGCCAAAACUGCAAUUUCCCAUGGGGCUUAGCAGCCAAUCCAUCCACCUCAUCAGCCUCCACGAACUUGACAACUUCCUGCUUGAUCAAGCACAGCUGGAUCACCUAGAAAGAAUUGGAAGGCAGAGAUUUUUCUCGAGGCUGAUUGAGUUUUGCAAGGUGAGGGGAGCAGGAGUAGCCGCAGCCGCAGGUGUUUUAGCUCCAGCUCGGGAGAUCUGAGCGAGGAGGAAUCACCUAGCAAGAGGAAGAAAUGGUGGGAUGUCCCGUGCAGAGAUAGUGCUGGUCAAAGGCUUGGAUCAUGCAGCAUUUCGCUCAAAUUGCCAAGAGAAUAAAUGCAAUGAUAAAUGUUACAAUAGGGCAUUUGUAAAUAGAUCAUUUUCAAAAGUUAAAU
rnacentral:lncRNA from 1 species